GCACUCACCUAUCCACUAAACAGCAACUUCAAUGUUGAAAGAUUUUAUUAGUUUUAAUAAAAUCUUUCAACAUUGAAGUUGCUGUUUAGUGGAUAGGUGAGUGC